AAUAAUAAAAACAAAAACCAAAACAAAAACAAAAAUAAAAACGCGGCGGUAGGGUACCCCCCUCUCGUUCAGAAAGUGCACGUGUGCGC
rnacentral:rRNA from 1 species